rnacentral:rRNA from 1 species
UAAGGCACACAGCUCAGUAGCACGUGGCUAACCUGCCCUUGGGACGGGAACACCCCCGGGAAACUGGGGCUAAUUCCCGAUAGGUGAAGAUUCCUGGAAUGGAUUUUUGCCGAAAAGACGUUUAGGGCAUGCUUCUAGGCGUUGCCCAAGGAUGGGGCCGCGGCCGAUCAGGUUGUUGGUGAGGUAAUGGCUCACCAAGCCUUUAACCGGUUCGGGCCGUGGGAGCGGUAGCCCGGAGAUGGGCACUGAGACAAGGGCCCAGGCCCUACGGGGCGCAGCAGUCGCGAAAACUUCGCAAUAAGCGAAAGCUUGACGGGGCCAUCCCGAGUGCCAUCUGCUGAGGAUGGCUUUUACCCAGUAUAGAUAGCUGGGGGAAUAAGGAGAGGGCAAGUCUGGUGUCAGCCGCCGCGGUAAUACCAGCUCUCCGAGUUGUGGGGACGUUUAUUGAGCCUAAAGCAUCCGUAGCCGGCUGGGCAAGUCCUCUGUUAAAUCCAGCGACAAAUCGUUGGCCUGCGGGGGAUGCUGCUCGGCUAGGGGGCGGGAGAGGCCGUCGGUAUUCUUGGGGUAGGGGUGAAAUCCUAUAAUCCCAGGAGGACCACCAGUGGCGAAGGCUGUCGGCUAGAACGCGCCCGACGGUGAGGGAUGAAAGCUGGGGGAGCGAACCGGAUUAGAUACCCGGGUAGUCCCAGCUGUAAACGAUGCAGGCUAGGUGUUAGGGCGGCUACGCGCCGCUCUAGUGCCGCAGGGAAGCUGUUAAGCCUGCCGCUUGGGGAUACGCCGGCAAGGCUGAACUUAAAGACCA